rnacentral:rRNA from 1 species
AGAAUCAACGCUGGCGGCGUGCCUAACACAUGCAAGUCGAACGAGAAAGUGGAGCAAUCCAUGAGUAAAGUGGCGCACGGGUGAGUAACACGUGACUAACCUACCCUUGAGUGGGGGAUAACCUAGGGAAACCUGGGCUAAUACCGCAUAAUACCUUCGGGUCAAAGGAGCAAUUCGCUUAAGGAGGGGGUCGCGGCCGAUUAGUUAGUUGGCGGGGUAAUGGCCCACCAAGACUGUGAUCGGUAUCCGGCCUGAGAGGGCGCACGGACACACUGGAACUGAAACACGGUCCAGACUCCUACUGGAGGCAGCAGUGGGGAAUUUGCGCAAUGGGGGAAACCCUGACGCAGCAACGCCGCGUGGAGGAUGAAGUCCCUUGGGACGUAAACUCCUUUCGAUCGGGACGAUAAUGACGGUACCGAAGAAGAAGCCCCGGAUAACGUUCGCGCCAGAGCCGC